GAGUAACACGUGGGCAAUCUGCCCUUCACUCUGGGACAAGCCCUGGAAACGGGGUCUAAUACCGGAUGACACUCCUUCCUGCAUGGGGAGGGGUUGAAAGCUCCGGCGGUGAAGGAUGAGCCCGCGGCCUAUCAGCUUGUUGGUGGGGUGAUGGCCUACCAAGGCGACGACGGGUAGCCGGCCUGAGAGGGCGACCGGCCACACUGGGACUGAGACACGGCCCAGACUCCUACGGGAGGCAGCAGUGGGGAAUAUUGCACAAUGGGCGAAAGCCUGAUGCAGCGACGCCGCGUGAGGGAUGACGGCCUUCGGGUUGUAAACCUCUUUCAGCAGGGAAGAAGCGAAAGUGACGGUACCUGCAGAAGAAGCGCCGGCUAACUACGUGCCAGCAGCCGCGGUAAUACGUAGGGCGCAAGCGUUGUCCGGAAUUAUUGGGCGUAAAGAGCUCGUAGGCGGCUUGUCACGUCGGAUGUGAAAGCCCGGGGCUUAACCCCGGGUCU
rnacentral:rRNA from 1 species